CGACGAUCCAAGCAGGAGGAGUCAAGCUAGAACCUAGCCCAGACCUAACCGCAUUGUACAGAUAUUUUAUUCUACUAGUAGGCUUGUACUGACUAUGAUAGAUACUUGGUGCGAUUAGAUUAAGGCUUUCCUCGGCAAAAAUGCGACUAGUGAUAGAAACUCAGACCUAACGACAUUAUGCAGAUAUGUUAUUGUACUACUAGACAUGUACCGUCUAUCAUAAAUACUUAACGCGAUAAGAUCAAUACUUUUGUCAGCGAAAAUGUGACUAGGAAUAGAAAAUCGUGUUUCACAAAAUGGCGCAGCUCCGAGCGACUUGAACAGAAGACAUAGAUUGUCCCUACGGCCUUGGUCAGACGUCGAAAUCGGAAACGUAACACGAGUUUCUAUCGAUUUCUCGCGAGCGCGUUCGUAAAUUGACACGUCAAAUGCUCGAUCGUUCAUUCAUGAAAAUAGUCCACCGAUGGUUUGCGAAGAUACCAAUCGGUUCAAAGAAUCCUCCUCUUGGCAAAGAAGCGAGAGCUCGAGCUCGCGUGGAGACGGGAACGUCGCGAGGAAUCGGUCGCGAAGCCUCGACGAAGACGCGGAUCCGUUGCGAAAUUUUCGAGGUCGCGACCUGCGCUUUUUCUCUUUUUUCUUCAAUGCGACGAUAAGCGGCUGCAGCGACGCCGAUCGAACGCCCCGUAUCGUUCACUCGUCGUCAGGCUAAGAAACCUCGACUGGAAAAUUGGGGAAACUUGGGAAAAUAGGCACUACUGUAACGAACUUUGGUGAAGAGGAACUUUGGUUCAGAGGAAGUUCCUAGAGAUUUCUAGACUCCUCAGGAGACUGAACCGAGCUGAGGAAGAAUGAACAAACAUGGGAAUCGAGGAAGAUAGACAGAGAAAGAUGAAGAGAAUUGGAGGAACCUAGGACCAACUACGGAAAAUAUAAAUAGUUACCUACUAUAAUAGAUUAAUGUAAUAGAUUGGUACUAGCAAUAAUAGCAUAGUUGUAUAGUUCAGUAUAGUACCAGCGUACACUAAUCUAGAUAUACUUGUCUAGAAUAGAAGAUUCUUUACAUUUUCUAGACUUCUAAGGAGCCUAAGAGAGCCGAGGAAGACUGAACAAACUUGGGAAUCGAA